rnacentral:rRNA from 1 species
GAUGAACGCUGGCGGCGUGCCUAAUACAUGCAAGUCGAGCGAACGGACGAGAAGCUUGCUUCUCUGAUGUUAGCGGCGGACGGGUGAGUAACACGUGGAUAACCUCCCUAUAAGACUGGGAUAACUUCGGGACACCGGAGCUUAUCCCGGAUGAUCUUUUGAUCCGCAUGGGUGAAAAGUGAAAGACGGUCUUGCUGUCACUUAUCGAGGCAUCUGGGCUGCUUUAGCUAGUUGUUAAGGUAACGGCUUACCAAGGCAACUAUGCAUAACCGACCUGAGAGAGUGAUCGGCCACACGGGAACUGAGACACGGUCCAGACUCCUACGGGAGGCAGCAGUAGGGAAUCGUCCGCAAUGGGCGAAAGCCUGACGGAGCAGCGGCGCGUGAGUGAUGAAGGUCUUCGGAUCGUAAAGCUCUGUUAUGAGUGAAGAACAUAUGUGUAAGUAACUGUGCACAGCUUGACGGUACCUGAUCAGAAAGCCACGGCUAACUACGUG